AAAUGCUAAGAUAGAUUGUUUAAAUAUUCAGGGCUUCAGCUAAAGAUCUAACCACUAAGAUCAAAAGAGUUAUUUAAAUAAAAAUUGUACAGACAUUUUUUUUUUUGUUUUGUCUGUAUUAGUAACGGUGCCUUUUGAAGUUACCCAGUAGAGUGUUUAUCUGAAAUGCCCUCACCUAAAUUUAAAGAAAUAAAAAAAAAAUACAAAAACAUUGCGUUUGACUUUGGGUAUAGCUUGAUUUUAGUAGAUACCAAAAGGGUGGCAACUGUUUUUAUGUUUAGAACUUGACAGUUGCUUUCGCUCUAGGUUCAGGUGGCACUUGGAAUAUAGCUGUUGUACAAAGUUCUUUUAUUUCUGUUUAAUCCUGAAGUACUUAAAAAAAAAAAACCACCUCUGGUGGGUCAAGUUUUUCAACUAGCUGUCUCUCCCCUUGAAUAAAGGGUUUCUAUAAAAGAUAAAAAAAUGGAACUGAUAGAAAAAAUAGAAGGUGCCAUAGAAGAAUACACAUAGUGGUAUCACCACUGUCACUGGUCGAUGAGCUCUUCAGCGUGAUGUUAACUCCGCCUUGUUUGUGGAAAGGAUGUUAAUCAUUUCAUUAAGAAAGGUUAAAUAAUUAACUGAUUUAUCAUUAGGGAAUCAGUGACAGACCCUUUUUAGUGAUGCCUGGUAGAAAUUUUCUAAUACAGACUCUGCUGCAUUUAAUUAUCUGGAGAGAAGCUAGCUGGACCUUGAGAGGAUGGGCAUGGGGCGGCUCUAGAGAGUAUCGCUGUUUGUGCGACUGUACACCAUUUUAGAGAAGCUAGUGUGCGGAAAUAGAAAACGGUUCAGUUUCGGAUUUUCCUUUAUGGCCUUCGUCAGGCAUGUUGUUGCAGACCUGCUGUUGUGCAUGCCUUCUCUGGGUUUAGGAAGGGUUCAACCGCUUAAAUAUGCUCGUGUUAUUUUCUAAAUAAUGGCUUUUGUGCAGUAUGAUGCAUGUUGACAGUAAAUGCACGGUCGUAACUUUGGUAAGCUUACAACAAAUUCUUAUACCUGUAGGAGCAAGCCAUCGUCCUUGCCACUGACUGGGGGGCUUCUCCUGUUUGUCUCUCGCUGUCUUGUGGCAACUGCUACACAAGGUUUAAAUAUUCCAGGAAGGGGGUGGGGGAUGGGAUGUGAGGGGGAAUAUAUUCCCCAUCUGGCAAAAAUUUACCCUUCUCUUAUACCCUUUUGUCCCCAGAUCAUACACAAGGUGUGUUUCCAGCUUAUUCUUCCUGUGCAUAUAUUCACAUCAACUCAAAAUUCAAAAGAUACUUCAAGAGAGGUCAGAUGUCUGUAUUCGUUUUUGUUUCUGUUAGGAAGCAGGGCAGUCACUUUGAGUGGAAAGAUCAUCUCUGGGUCAUAGCGGAGUACCGAGGUAGAACAAUUCUUGAGGGAAGCAGCAAGGCACUUUGGAAAAUACCGAAAAUGGGUUUUGUAUCGGGAUGCAGCAUUUAGUGUUGUAACAAGUGCCCGAUUGUAGAAUAAAAUGCGAUGUGAUGGCCUCAAGCACUUUGAUCUUUGAGUUGAGAAUAACUUCUGAUGAGAGAAAUCUGGCAGAUAUUUACAAAGCUCUUUGUCUUAAAACUGUGCGCUUACAUCUUUCCAUUUUUAUUAUGAAAUACACGACACCAAAAAGGUAUAAUUUAAAGGAUAAGUCAGUGAGCACCCAUGUACCUGCGGCUCAUGCUCAGAAAGAACACAUUUCUCAACCAGGUUGAAGAGGCUCUUGGCCUAUCUGCCCUAUUCCUACCUCUGUCCUUGUCGCCUGGAGGUGACCUCUGCUCUCAGCUGGCUGGUUUUCAUCCCCUGGAUUUCUUUAUGUCUUUAAUACCUAUGCAUCUAUUCCCCCAAAUAUAGAGUUUUCUUGUUCAUGUUCAAGAUUUAUCUUGAGCGGUUCUGCUGUGUGUGUGCUUUAGUAACUUGCUUUUUUGUUAUUGUUCAGUUAGAGUUGGUGAAAUUCAUCCGUGUGGAUACAUGUAGCUGUAGUUUAUUCAUUCUCCCAUUUGAGCCUUUUGAAGUGCUGAAUAUUAUUCGAGACGAGUUCUUUACAUUUGGAUCCCAGCCGCAUUCUGCAGUAUUACAUGUUGAAAUUUAGGAUUAAUGUGAAACUAUCAGUCCUGACUCAGACUUCAUAAUUCGUUCAUUUACGACUGUUUUUUAUUUUUUAUUUUUUUUUGCGGGGGGGAGGCUUUAAAAUCAAUACCAGGGAAUUUGAUUUAAAAAAAAAAAUAAUGUAUCAAGUGGUUGAUCUCUUACAUUUAAGGAAAAAAAAAACAGGCGAGGCAUUCAUCUGAAGGAGCCUAGCCAUUUUCUCAUUCUUAUUUAAAGACUUGGCUUAGAACUUAACAGUUACAUAUGCAGGGUAGCAAGUUAAAAAGCGAUGUUUAAUUAACAGGCGCUUUAUACUUCUGUAUCCUUGUUAUGAUAUAGCACCUUGUUCUUCAGUGUAGAAAGUGAUUUCUGCAUAUUUUAAAGGACUGGCAUCUUUAUGGUAAGAAAGCCAUAUAAAUAAAGAUAUACUCAGAUGAAAAUCGGAACAUGUUUUUAAAAUAGUGUGUGUCUACUUUCAGCUCUGUUAUCAAACUUGCUGCAUAAGCCGGAGUUGAUGCUCUGUGAUUAUGCUAAUGACCAAAGGAAUCGAUGAUGCGCGACUAGAUGAAAUCAGUGAUCAGUGGUAGAACCAGAGAGAGUUAUCAGUUUUUUUGUCAUUAAAUAUUAGUGAUAAAUAAUACACUGUUCAUUUUGAGUAGCUAGAACAUAUUUAAUUCUGAUGUACAGAGUUUCGAUUUAGUCAGGCUUAUUGCUGAGUAAAAUGAUAAUCUUUUGUAAUUUGAGGGGAAAGAUAGAAGGCAUUUGUGUCAGUGUGGCUAAGUGACUUGGGUCAUAGAAAUGUUUACCUAGACUGGCCAGGGAAGGUUGGAAAAACUUUUUCUUUCCUCCUAGACAACUUGGAUAUUUGUGCUGACGUUUUAUUAGGAAUAUCACAUACUCAGUAAACAGCAUAAGUGACCAGAGAUGUUAAACAAAAUGAGUCUAAAGGUAGAUUGUGUUUCCCUAAAGAGUAGAGGUAAAAUAUAACAAAGGGGAAUGUUUGGACAACGCUCUUUUUAGAGGCGGGUGUGUGUUAAACGGGGACCAUUAGAGUCAGUGUUACUAUUAAACAAUGGCUUUAAUUAAAAAAAAUGUUUUUUUGAGUUUCUCAUAACAAAGUUAUACUUGGUAAUGGUUUAUUUAAAGAGAAGUAAUACUUGUAACAGAGCAUCUUUUUCUAGGUUCCUGAAAUCUUGUGGGAAAACAUUGACACUGCCUUCUUUGUUGCAAAGGGGUUUCUAAAGCCGUUCUCCCUCAAAGACAUUCCUUCCUGGGCAGAGUUGAGCAGGUGUCUUACUACUCUACAACAGUACCAAGGUGACAUGAGAGAAAACAAAGGAAUAAUUAGCUGCGGUUUAUAGGACAUAAAGAAAGAGUGAUUGAAGGCUAUAAAAGAAGGAAAUCAGAUUGAAGGCUGCUAUGAUGUUACUUUUUAAAAACGCAUUGACGAAAUGAUCUCUUGAAAGCAGACUCCCACCCUGGAUUGCGCCGACCGUCGUCUGCCAUUUUCCUGUCUGCUGUCCUGUCCGUCCAUGUUGGCUCUUAUCAGCAGUACCAACUGCUCUUCGAGCAGCGGCCUUCCCUGUGGUAAGGCAGGCCAAUUGGGUCAAUUUUUGUGAUCUGGCAGAUGUCCACUGGGAGCUCAGAUCAGGCCAGGCUCAUUUUUAUGUGUGUCCAAAGCCAAGAUUUCAACUUGGUGAAAGGCUGUGGAAUUUAUUUCCCAAAGUGCUGCCCAAACUCUGUUCUUCUUUUCUUCAACUGCCUCCUUGGGCUGAGAUGAUUGCUUAAUACUCUUAAUUAUGCUGGAUCCCUCUGUGUUUUUGAACACCUGUGCGUAAUUCAGAUCAUGGGUGGUCACAGAGCCUGGCUCACUAAACAGCUUCUCUUUCAGAGUGGGAAAAUCCCAAGGAGCCUGACCAUGCACCGUGUGUUGGGGGGCUGAGAAGAGAUUUAAAGAGGAUGGAACGUUUCUCUUGAAUUUCCAUUUUGCCCUGUAAAAGGUCCUCAGUCUUACGUCGGGGAGAGUGUUAGGAUGAAUACGUCAGAAAUGGCAUUUAAAAAAAACUCUUAUUCAUUGCUGGUGGGAAGGCCUAAUAGUUACAGCCACUUUGGAAGACAGUUUGAUGGUUUCUUAUAAAACUAAACAUACUCGGGGCACCUGAGUGGUCCAGGCGGUGAAGCGUCCAACUUUGGCUCUCAGGUCAUGAUUUCGAGGUUUGCGAGUUUGAGCCCUGUGUUGGGCUCUGUGCUGACAGCUCAGAGCUUGGAGCCUGCUUUGGAUUCCAUGUCUGUCUCUCCCUCUCUCAGCCCCUCCCCGUUUGCGUGCUCUCUCUCAAAAAUAAAUAAACAUUUAAAAAAAUUAAAACUAAACAUACUCUUUCCAUACUAUCUUGCCAUGGCCCUGCUUGGUGUUUACCCAAGGGAGUUGAAAACUUAUGUCCACAGAAAACCCUGCACACAAAUGUUUAUAGCAGCUUUCUUCACGAUUGCCAAAAGUACGAAGCAACUAAGAUAUCCUUCAGUAUGGGGACAGAUAAAUAACAACUCUGGUACAUCUAGACAAUGGAGUAUCGUUCAGCACUAAGAAAAAGUGAGCUGUAGGGGCACCUGGGUGACUCUUGAUCUUGUGUGUGUGUGACUCUUGAUCUUGGGGCCAUGGGUUCGAGCCCCACAUUGGGCGUAGAGAUUACUUAAAAGAAAAAGAAGUGAGCUGUCAAAUCAGAAAAAAAAAAACAAAACAAAACAUGGAGGAACCUUAAGGGCAUGUCAUGGGGUGAAAGACAUUCUGCAAAAGGCGAAAUUGUAGAGACAGGAAAAAGAAUAGUGGUUGCCAGGGGUGGGAGAGAGAAGGAUAAAUAGAGCACAGAGGAUUCUUGGGGUGGUGAAAUAUUGUGUAUGACUCUAUAGUGGUGGAUACAUGUCAUCAUACAUUUGUCCAGACCUCCAGAAUGUACCACACCAGGAGUCAGCCAUGCUGUUGUAAUGUAAACUGUGGACUCUGGGUGGUUAUGACGUGUCAUUGCAGAUUCGUCGUUUGUAACCAGUGUCCCACUCUGGUGAGGGAUGCUGGCAGUUGGAGAGACCGUGCACGUGUGGGGCCAGGAGGGUUAUGGGAGCUCUCUGUACCUUCCCCUUGAUUUUCCUCUAACCCUUAAACUGCUCUAAAAAAGUAAGUCUUAAAAAAAAUUCCUGGGUUGGGGUGCCUGGGUGGAUCCAUUGGUUGAGUGUCAGACUCUUGAUUUUGACUCAGGUGGUGAUCUCAUGGUUCAUGGGUGCGAGUCCCGUGUCAGGCUCUAUGCUGACAGUGUGGAGCCUACUUGGGAUUCUCUCUCUCCCCCUCCCCCACUGGUGCACACUCUUUCUCCCUCUUUCCCCCCACUUCUCAAAAUAAAUAAACUUAAAAAAAUUCCUGCAUUGCAAGUGAUCCAUAACCCUUCUCCAUAUCCGUAUUCUAAAAUCUCUAUCUAGUUGUUUAUCUGCUUUACCUGUGCCAAAUGAGCAUUAGAGUUUCUUGUGAGGACAGUGAAGUAGGCCAGAGCCAGUUUGUUUUUGAGACAGCGUUUUAGUGUGGGAACUUCUUGGGCUGCCCUUAACCCCCCAGAGUGGGAUCCUGGGAGACCUAUAGAGUCCUCAUUGAUGACCUGAUCUGAGCCACCCCUUGUCUGUCAGGAGACUGUGGUUCACAGAGGGGACGUGACUCUUGUCCAGUGAGAUAGCCCCUUGGAUCAAAUCCUGCCUGGCCACCUGCAGUAAUCUCCAUAUCUACAUUUAUACACACGUUUAUGUAUAUGUGAUUGUGUGUAUUUACGUGUGUGUGUUUGUGUGUAUGUAUAUUUUAUUUUAUUUAUUUUAAAAAAAAUUUUUUUUUCAACGUUUAUUUAUUUUUGGGACAGAGAGAGACAGAGCAUGAACGGGGGAGGGGCAGAGAGAGAGGGAGACACAGAAACGGAAACAGGCUCCAGGCUCUGAGCCAUCAGCCCAGAGCCUGAUGCGGGGCUCGAACUCACGGACCGCGAGAUUGUGACCUGGCUGAAGUCGGACGCUUAACCAACUGCGCCACCCAGGCGCCCCUGUGUGUAUGUAUAUUUUAAAAAAAACAUUACAGAUAAUACAGCACAUAUAUAUAUAUAUAUAUAUAUUUUUUUUUUUUUUACAAGGAUUUAUCCUACUCUGUAUCAAGAACAUUUUUUCUAUAUCAGUCUCUAUACGAUUGUUAGUAACUAUUUGCUCUCAGCUGUACACGCAUAUAUUUUCUUCCCCUGCAAAGAAACCCUUUGGGAGGACAGCACUAUAAGGACCAUAUUGUCUCCUUGAUGUUUGUAAUGUACUUGGGAUCGAGGCUACAGUAGACGUCUGGAGCUGUAAGGUUAUAACAUACGUGUGUUAUACCAUCGUGUGUAUGUACUGAUGUGUGUUUGUGUUCAGGAGGUGUACAUUUUAUUGUGAAUAAAAUAGGAUAGGUUGCGGAUCUAGAACUGUGUUUCAGGUGAGUGGUUCAGAUUUCUACAAACCUUUGAGGUUAGAAUGCACCUGUCCCAUCACUCCUCCAUUAAACCCACUGGUGACAUCUGUGUCUUUGCCAUGGGGUUCUGACAUUCACACCGGGCACAUUUUGCUUUGGAGGUUGGAACAUGUGUUAGGAAUGAGGUGAAGAAAUUCUUGGUAUGUGCAUUAAAUAAUACAUUUUUGAGAAUCUAGGACAUCCCAGCCAGGUCACAUAGAGUGUAAAUAGCCCGUGAAACAAGUUAUUUGUUAAAACGGCAACAACAACAACAACAAAAACCACAAAAAACAAAAAAACGGUAGAAGUAAGUAAGUCUGUGUUAUGAGACCUUUGAAAAUUCAAAGAAUAAACAGAAUGUGGGAGCUGACCGGCUGUUCAUUUGUGGGGCCUUGUUAAAUAUUAAGAAUUUGAGGAUAGUGAUGGCAGAGCCUUAAACCAAGUUCGGGGCAUUCCCAUGCCCGGGUCCCGGUGUGGCUGCCCUUGUCACACACCCGUGAAGCAGGUCCUGCUUGGGGUUGGCUUCUCACACCAAGAUUUCCUCCCCUGCAAAACAGGAAGACCCAGCUGGGACAGGCAUGGCUGGCUGAGGCCCUCCUAUGCCACUCGUGCUUCGCGAUCUUGACUUCCUCUGCAUUACUGAAUCCAGAUGGGGCUCAGGUUUUUGUUUUUUGUUUUUGUCGCAAGUUUUUAUUCACAUUCCAGUAAGUUAACUUAUAGCGUGAUAGUAGUUUCAGGGGGCUCAGGUUUUAAAGCACGUUCCUCUCCCUGGGCUGUUGAGAUCCGCUGAGUGUCAAAGAAUGGCCAUCUUCUGGAGUAAGUGUUUUCUGCGGGCAGUUUGCAACAUUCUGUGCGGGAAGCUAAUCCUGUUCUUGCUUGCUCGUUCUUUUAUUCUUCUACAGCCCUUUCCCCAGGAUCUUGCCACUUUGACUGUACCUUCUGUCCCUGUCACCUUCCUUGUCCUUCAUUGUCACCUGCCCUUGGCUUCAUUCUGCAAGGGGCCUGCUAGGCCUAGAAUCUGAAGGCAGCCUCAGAAAAGAGCUUCUACUCUUCCCCCUUUGAUCCCAAACUGUAAUUAUUAAAGAAGCAGUUUUAUCUUGAGGGGCACUGGUUGGUUUCCUGCCUACAGGAAUGGCCGGCUAACCAGGCCCAUGCCGUGGAGGUGUGGUUGGCCCAAGCUGCACCAAAUGCAACAAUAAGGGGAUGUUCUGCCUCUGCGCUGGGCACUUGUGGCACCCUCAUUGAUGAGGAUGAGCUUCUGUAAGACGGUUCAAGUCCAGUCGACUCUGAAGAAAGUGACGGGACUUUGUAGUAGUACCCUGUUUUCGAAUUGUAACAUAACUGGAUGAUCCUUGGGCCAGGCAGUUUUUGUCCCCUCCACAGACACGCACUGAUUCUCUGCCCUUCUGUAGCUCCCACGUGCUGAGCGAGUGGUGGAGUCUUUGAGUCUUUGACUUUGGUGGAGUCUUCGUGGCGGCGAUGCUGCCCGGUGUUCAGACUGAUGGGAGGCACGAAGGAGCACGUGUCUGCAAAGCGCUUAACAGAGCUUCUGGCUUGUCACAAACACUUGGCUUUUGGUGACUUUAUUAUUAACAAGAACAAGGCCUGUUGCUGGAUUUCUGUGUUUUGGGGACAAGGUCUUGGAAGGGCGAGCCCUGCUUUCUCUUCAGAAUGUGUGAUGGCGAAGUUGGGAGCCCUCCAUCACCUCUCCCCUGCUUUCCUGCUCCGUCCGCCUUCCCCCGUGUGUUUCUCCCCUCGGCCUCUUGCCUCCUUCCCGCUCUGUCCGGCACAGUAACUCUUCCUGACGUGAGGGUGUGCCACAGUUUUGGGGGCACUCCGAAUGUCUGCUGGUGGUCUUUUUGGCUGACAGGCCAUCUCUGGGGGCCCAGAGAGGUGUGGGCAUGUUUUCUGGGGAGGGGUCUGAUGAGUCUCUCAGGAGCACCCCUGAGGCCAGACUGGAGGGGGCGCUCUUCCCGACUCCGGAAGCUUGAGAUUGCUGGGAGCAGGUUGGCACCGGUGUCUGCCCACCACCGCCUUCAAGCAUCCGUGGAGGACUUGGUGCUUUUUCUGCAGAGAAGAGCACUAACUGGCCCCCUCCCGCUCCCCCAGCUGUGCUACUGAAACUCAGUUCCAGCGUGUGAUCCCCUGUCGGGCUGUGCUCCCUCAGUGUCAGGCUGUGAACACCAGAGCGUUCCUCUCCAGCUCUUCGCCAGAUUGCCCAUUGAAUUGCCUUUUUUCACAACUACCUUAAUCGUCCACUACGGGGACAGGAAAUGAUACUGCAGUUGGGUCAAACGUUAGGCCGCACCAGGGUUUUCUCUAGUCAGGUUUGGGAUUUGAAUGUGUUUACGGAGUCUGUCUGUAUUAUUUUUCCCUGGCCUGGCGUCUGGUGUUUAGUUCCUAGGGGAACGAGAAUGCUGCUCAGGAUGGCUCACCGUUUGCAAGCCAGUUAAUUAACUUGUGAUCCAUGCACGGUUUUCGCUGUCUCUGUCUCCCCACCCUGGCAGGGCAGUUGGAGAAUGAACAGGCUGUGCACUUAGCAGGUUGAGAAGAGGGACCGCACGCCUGAAAGCGGGAAUGGCCCUUGGUGAUGAGGACCCAUGAUAGGUGUGCCAUUCGCCAUCCAGGUAGCUCCAUCUGGGCUGAGUGUAUGUGGAAUGAAUUGCUCAGAGUUUAUAACAGCCUCCAUUCUGGCUAUUGAGAGGCCAUGGGUAUUCACGUACCUGCAUAUUUGUCGGUGAUGAUAUAUAACGGGUAGAGAAUUUAGUUCUUUCAGUGGCCAUCAUGGAAGGAACACAUGGGAAGUUCCCCAUUUUUUGACCUCUUCACUCAUUUGUUCAUUUAUUGACCCAGCAUUACUCCCAGGUCAGGAGCCAUUACUUCCUGAUGCCCCUCUUUCCCCCCAGCUUCAUUUUGGACCUUCUCAGUUAGGUGUUCCAAUUCAACAACGUUCAGACAUCCGAAUGUCAUUGUUCACAGGGAUCUUUGUCAGCCAGCCUAUGACAUUCAUCUAGUUCCACCUUUUGUUUACUAAAUAUAUGGCCGCCCAGAAGCAAAUGACUCAUCUGUACGCUUAGUUACCAUUUCUGUAACAAAUACGGCUUUCGGUUACAUUUUGACUACCAGCACUGUACUAGGUAGUAUACCAAGUAUAAGCAGCCGCCUUUUCUUUCUAGCCUGAGUACUUAAUUAAGACCUGACAGAUUGAUUUUUCCAUUAGGCCAGAAGGCAGGUGUCGUCUUGAGCAAUUCUUGAUUUGAAUUUCCUAUUAAGAGUCUGUUUAGCGUUCCCCUCCCCCACCAAAUAUGUGUAUUUGACGAAGACUGUCUUCUACACAGUGAAUUGUAUGCAAUGAAUUGGGAGGAACCAAAGUAAAAUAUUGUAAUAAUUUCUUUUUAAAAAGGUACUGAUAUGGAAUUGCUUUGAUGCCUGCUAUAUUCUUGGUGUCUCCAGGGAAAGCUGCCUUUUAAGUAAUGUUGAGUGGCAGUCUGAGGUUCAUAAAGCUGUCAUUUCUCAUCUUUUUUUUUUUUUUUACCCCUGAUGCUCUCGAUCUGGGACAGAGUGACAGAGACAAUGGUGUCCACAGCCCCUGACCCCUUGGUGGAUGAUUUGAUUUCUUUCCUUCCCUCUUUUCAAUGUUCAUUCUCCCAAAAUGGCACAGAACUAACUUCCCGAAAGGACUGUUUACCCACUUAUUAAAAUACAAAUUUCUACUUACAAAUUAAAACUCUGUAGAAGCCAGUCAACUCUAGUGAUAAAGAGUUUCAUUAAUGCCAAGGACGCCAUCUAGGCAAGGGACACCAGUUCAGGGUGUCCCAAAUUCUCAUACAGUGCAUUCGUGGGUGUCAGACACAUUGUGUCUUGAUUAAAGUCAGGGAUUCUGGAAUUCUGCAAACUUGAGUUUAAAAAGCCUUUUUAAAAACUUGAGUGACUUAAAGCCUAUUAACCUUUCUAAUUUAUCUUCAUAAGGGUGUGUGUGUGUGUGUGUGUGUGUGUGUGUGUGUGUGUGUGCGAAUAGAAGGACAUAAUGAUAGAACUUCAUUUGUUCUGUGGAUUAGGUAACAGAAUCCACACAGAAUGUGAUGCAUGGUCUCUGGCCAGUAUAGGAAGCAUCUUUAUACCUGUUAGCUCUUAAGAUUAUGAUUAUUCUAUGUGUAUUGUUUAAAAGUCACAUCAAAGGGCUAAGAUGGAUAAAAGGUGUGAACUUGGCAAAGAUCGCUAAAACCCGGAAGGAAGUGUACCUCACAGACGUGGAGGGAAUUGGAACCUCAGGUUAAUUACCUUGUUGUUGUGUUUUGGGGUUUGUGUUGAUUGCACUGGUUUUGUCUCUUGACUUUUGAAUAAGCUCCUAAAAUAUGGUUUUGUGGGGUGUUUUUAUUUGCUUCUGAAAUUGGUGCAGGUGCAGAUAACAGGAAACGAAACCUUAGGCAGCCCGAGGGAGCCUCAUUCAAAUUGUGCCAAGCAGGUAUAAUAUACAAGUGUUAUCGCCUUACUGAUAAUCUGGCAUGCUGUGGGUAUUCCACGUGCCCUGUGGAUUACAGAGAGUGAAGUCAUACAGCAGUUUGGCCCCAGCCCCUAGCAAGGAGGAGACAGAGGAGAGCCCUCAUUCUUAAAGACAGUGUUAAAGCACAGCUUUGCUUGUCCAAGUGCACAGGAUUGCAGUUGUGCUUCUGUCCGUUGGCAUUUCACGUUACCUUGGAGGCUACACCUUUGGCGUGCAGCGAAGGUACCUUUGGUGUGUGAAUUAGCACCACGUCUCUGGAGUUAAAGAGUCUACCCUGGGUUUGAGACUACGUUACAUAUUGCCCCAUAUUUGGACUGUAGAAAAAGGUGAAAAUUAAAGACCUGUGGCUAGAAUACUAAGUUUUCCCAUUGUUCGAUAGCCCGUUGGUUAUACCUAAAGAAAGUAGUGUCUUUAAGGCUUAAUUUAGUUUUUUGUCCUAGAGGAUUUAGGGACAGACCAUGGUUGUCUUGCCUGUGUAGUAGGGAAGGUUUCUCUUUUUGUCUUUGGCUGGAUCCUUGUUUUUGCAGGUACUGAGCCCUCAGACAUGCAUGAAAUCGGAUAAAAUUUUCCCAGCAUGGCCCCCCAUCCUGGAGGAGCCAUGGCAUAAGCACUUCUUUGUUGUGCCUGGAAGCAGGCCAUGUCGUUACGUGCAAGGUGCUCUUCUGUUUCUUGGUUUUGGUAAGGGAGCAUCUCAAAUAAUUUGUUUAACCCCAUGGUACAACCAGAGCCUUUAUAGCCUCCCGUAGUCCUCACUUGGCUGACAAUUUGUUUUCUCUUGUUUAAGUUGAUUCUUUCAUCCAUUCUCUGGAUGGACACAGACACACAGACAGACAGACAGACACACACACACACGCACACACACGCUCCUCCCUGCUUUGUUCACACCUUAUCUUGUGUGGCCAGCCUGGCUCCUACAUUUUUUUUUUUUUUUUUAUUAAGUAGGCUCCACGCCCAAUGUGGGGCUCAAACUCACAGGCCUGAGAUCAAGGAUCCCCAAGCCUGUCUCCUUCACUAAUUUUCCCAACCUCACUCUGCUCGCAUCCUCUAUUUUCCAGAAAAAGUCACUUGCUGGAGGCACAAUUCUUCUUUUGCCAUUGCCUCUCCAGUGGAGGGAUGGGAUGGGGAGCAGGACAAUGACUUGGGUGGGAGGCAAUUCAAAAUAAAAGGAGGAGAAAUAAAAGACAAAGGAUUGUGUCCAGAAGGUCCAGAUCACGUCUCUGGGGCCCGUUAGUCAUUCUUGUAACUGUUUGAGGAAAGCUGUAGACCCAGCUCCAGCAUUAAAUAAACCAAAUUCUUCCCUUACUGACAGGCAUGGUCUCUGAACCAGAAAGAGCCAGAUCAAAUCUUAGUGUGGUCUCUUAGUUUUGAGUUCUCUUGUGUGUGGAUUUCUUGGCCUCAGUUUGCUCUUGUGUAAAAUGGUCUGGUGAUGGUAAUACGAACCUGUUAGGGUGGUUUUGGGGAAACUCCCGUAAUGCCCAAUGUGUGGCAUAUCUGAACCUUCAAUAAAAGGUAGACAUUGUUAGCCCCAAUUAUUCUAAUGCCUGGGGGCAGCGAAUCCAUUGUGCCCAGUCAAGAAUUGAACACAUAGUGCAGUAGAUACUGAUUCAGACACUUUGGUUAGAAUCCCUAGCUUGCCAGUUAAGAGCCACGUGACCUUGGGGUGCCUGGGCGAUGCGGUUGAGUGUCCGACUUCGGCUCAGGUUAUGAUCUCCCCAUUUGCGGGUUCGAGCCCCUCGGUGGGUUCUGUGCUGACAGCUCGGAGCCUGGGGCCUGCUUCGGAUUCCGUGUGUCUCCCUCUCUUUGCCCCUCUUUUGCUUACGCUCUCUCUCUCUCUCUCUGUCAAAAAUAAACAUUAAAAAAAAAAAAAAAAGAGGAGUCCUGUGACCUUGCAAAAGUUCUUAAACAUUUGUGUGGUUCAGUUUUCUUACCCACCAAAUGGUAUGAUAGUACCUGUCACAUAAAGCUGAAGGGAGGAUUAGGUAAAUUAAUGCGUGUAAUUCACUUAGAACAAGAUAGAGAGUCUAGAACAUGGGGAGCCCUCAAUAAAUCAUAGAAGCUACUGUGGUUGUCCUGAUGACGCUCAUAAUGAUUAUUAUUACCCCUUCCCUGUCCAGGCAGAAACAUCCACCAAGAGGACUCACGUAGAACUCCUUCACGUCCUUCCAUUUUUCUUGACAGCUUGGGGGCAGACACCCAAAACUGAGACUUGGUGGGAGAGUCUUGGUGUUAAACCCAAACUUCCAUCAUCAGGCCUGAACAUUUGGCCCUUUUUCCUCUUUGUCUAGGAGACACAUGGAAGUAAUUUGUAGCAGUUGGGUAUCAGGCUUUGGCUUUGCCAGUGGAAGAUGAAAAACAUUUACUUGCUACUUGCCAUAACGUAUUUGUAUUUUCAUUGUUUCUUUCUCCAUACCCCCAGGAGAAAGAAAAAAUGAAACUGAAGUGAAAUACAUCUUUGUGAUUGCCUAAGUUAGCAGGAUGGUGGUGGAAGUACGUCCCAAGGCAUACACUGGUGCUGGAAGAUGAUGAGUUGCAUGGAAUAGAAUUUGAUGUGCCGUGAAUGUGUCUGGAACCACACGUAAGGGGACAGUUAGCACAUGCCAGCUCAACAGUCACUAGAGCACUGAGCACUAUUGUUAAUGCUUUGUAUGCAUAAUCCGUUCUAUCCUUACAACAACCUUGCGAAGAAGUUCGUUUCAUCUCCAUUUUAUAGAUGAGAAAACUGAGCUGUGGAGAUCAAGACACUGCCCAGCGUCACAUAGCUAGAUCUUUCCUAUUUUAUAUGAAAUGCUGGAGAGAAUCCAAGCAGGUCCUGGUGGCAAGGGUCCUCGGCUACCAUCUGGUUCAUCUGGCUUUUUUUUUUUUUUUUUGGUAACAGCUUUAUUGAAAUAUAGUUCAGGUACAUAAAUUCGCCAAUUUAUAGUAUACCGAGUUGCGAAUUUCAGUAUUCACAUAGUUGCAGAACCAUGAGGUCACAAUCAAUUUUAGAACAUUUUCACCACCCAGAAAAGAAAUGACAUAACUCUUUAACAUUAACCCCCUUGCCCAUUCCGUCCUAACCUACCUCAGCCCUAGCAACUACUAAUAUAUAUUUUUUUCUAUAGAUUUGUCUAUUUUGGACAUUCUGUAUAGAGUUACACAGCAUGUCGCCUUUUGUGUAUGGCAUCUUUCAGCAUGUUUCUUCACAUUUACCCAUGUUGUCACACGAAUCCGCGUGUAGUACGUCUUUAUGACCAAGUAGUAUUCCAUUGUAUAGAUGUACGACAUUUUGUUAUUCAUCCAUCAGUGAACCCUCUUUUGACUUUCUUGGUUUUAAAUAUUUAUUUUAUUUUAUUUUAUUGUGUUCUAUUGUAUUUUUUAAAAAAGUAUUGAUUUGUUUUGGGGGGAGCACAAGCGGGGAAGGGGAAGAGAGAGGGGGACAGAGGAUCCAAAGUAGGCUGUGCACUGAUAGGCUGACAGAAGCGAGCUGGAUGUGGGGCUCAAACCCCCGAACCACAAGAUCAUGACCUGAGCCGAAGUUGGACGCACAACCGACUGAGCCACUCAGGUGCCCCUACUUUUUGAUUUUUUAUUUUUAAGUAAACUGUACCCACAAUGUGGGGCUUGAGCUAUGACCCUGUGAUCAAGAGUCACAUGCUUCACCAGCUGAGCUAGCCAGGUGCCCCUCGCUUUUUGCUUUUGUGAUUAAGUUUACUAUGAACACUCAUAUGCAAGUUACUGUGUUGAUGUAUGUUUCCAAUUCUCUUGAGUCCCAAACCUAGGUUUGGGAUUGCCGCAUGAUAUGGUACCUUCUUUGUUUAACCCUUUGAGGAACUGCAGAAGCGAUUUUCAAACCCCCCACACCAUUUUACAUUCCCACUGGCAGUGUAUGAGGGUUCUAAUUUCUCCACACCUCCCUAACAUUUGGUAUAAUCUGUCUUUGCUUUUAACUGUCUUGUUUUUAAAAUUAGGAAACUGAGCCUUGGUGAGUCUUAAUGACUUGCUAGUUAUACUUGGUGGCAUGGACCCAAUUCUUCUCUAGGUAUGAAGCUACGAGGAUGAAAGACAUAGUCUUUAUUGCACGAGCUCACUGUCUGGUGGGGAGUUGGACACAUAGUCACAAUGUACAGUGCGAGUGGCUAUAUGAUGACAAAGUUUAAUGAGAGCAGAAACUUAUCUCAUACUCUAAGAAACGGAAGAUUAUUUAGUGGCUCAUAUAACGGAAAAAUCUUGUGCUGGUUAGCUUCAGGUACAGGUGGAUCCAGGUGCUAAAAAGAGGGUUAGUCAGAGGGCUGGCUGCCUCUUUUUUUCUCUUGUCCUUGCUCUCUCAUUGACUCCUUCAUUCUUAGCUCUCUGUCAUUUGUUUUUGUGAGAACACAGUUACUGGCAGAAUACCCUUCUACUCUAUCAUGUAAGCAUCUCUAGCAGAACAGGAGUUUUUUUCUAUAGUUUCUCUAUAGUUCCAGCAGGAGGCUUGCAUAAAUUACUCAUUGGCCCAGUAGGUUAAUGUAACAGCCUUUUAACCAGUUAGAACCAGUGUUCUGAUUGGUUAUCUUUGCUUCAUUUCCUUGCCUGGAGGUUAGAUGGGGGAGGGAUCAGUCCCACUUAGACUAUGGGACUGAGAACGGGCAAGGCGUGAUUCCCAACGGGAAAAUCAAAGUUAGGUUUAUAGAAGAGUAAGAAAUGAGGUUUGCCAGGUAAAAACAGCACUUGUUCAUUUCUACUAACGAGGAAGGUUUUACUCACCCAUUACAGAAAUCUGUAAACAGUACGGGAAUGCAUGCGCUGUUUAACUGGAACUUCAGCAGUGGGGUGGCCUUUGGCGGAUAGCUGAAUGUAGUGCAUGAGUUCUCAAUUAUACCCUGUCAUUGCCUUGGAGGCAAAAUGGCAGCCAUGGUUCCGACUGCCACACCAUCCAGAGGAAGAGGGAGGCUGCCUGGUCCAGUUGCUAUCUCUUAAGAGUGAGAAACUGCCUUGUCACCAGCUCCCCAGCAUACUUGGUGGGGCUCUGCUGUCUGGCCUGAACUGCCCAUUCCCAUGACCAGAUAGGUAUCAUUCCUUGAUUGGCUUGGCCUGGGUUUCUCAACCAAUCAUCAUCUCCAUUCAGCCCCAGCUUCUGGGGGAGGCAGAGGAGUAGCUUUCCCUGAAGCUCCUGCAUCCUGUAGGAGAAGGGUAUGAAGGGUACAGAGGGUACGUGUCUGAGUCAAAUGAAGGUUCCCUUCGGGAGGAAUAUGGCAAUGGGAGUUAGGGAUUCAUUUGGCAACACCAAGUUUGCUUUGCCUUAAAGAAACAGAGAUUUCCAAGGAGACACUGGGUGGCGGAAGUAGACAUUUCGGGCUCAGGGAAUAGCACGGGCAAAGCCACUCGUUGCCAACAUCGCAUAUAAAAUUGAAGGCAUCUCGGUGAUCUGUACCUUUUAUUGUAUGAAUGAGCAACUUAGAGAGCAGAAAGUAAGAGGCAGCGCUGGCCAUAGAACUUUCUGUUCUCCUUUCCUUCUCCCUCCUCUGAGCAGGUGGGAUGACAGUUGAAUGUGACUGGUCAGCCUCAGAGCUGUCUGUCUCCCUGUGGUGCGUCUCAUAGUGGAGGAAGCCAAGCAGAAGGAUUGCCUUUAUUUUUUAUAGCUUCUGGCUCAUAAUGUUCUAAAAAUCGCUUUAAGAACCAUGGGAGUGAGGUCUGUACUGCGCUCAGUGUGCAAUGAUUUGGGGACAUGGUAGACUUUUUACUUUCUUAAAAUAAUUAGAUACUUUUUUCAGGGAAAGUUUUAAGUUGACCAUUUGAGAUGUAGAAGAUGAUAUGGAGGCAAGCUAACAUUUAGUUAUUUCUUUUCCAAACACCUCAUACUAUUUUUAAUUUUUCCUCUCUCAUCUAUGUAGUUAGCUGGUAAUUGCCCAAUUAUUUGUUCAGAAAGAUACUUUUGUGACAUGCCCAACUUUGAGAAUGCUUUUCUAAAUCAUUAGUGAUAAAAUCAUAGUGAUUUUCUAAAACUGCAUAGUGUAUCUCCCACCUGUAGAAAAGAGUUACAUUGAUGUUUUUAGUGUGUUUCAAUUUCAUUUUUUCCCAUUCAUAUUAACAAACACAUGCAGGUGAGAUUAAACAGUUUCAUUUCCUGCUGGUUUGUAUCAUUAAAUGUUCUCUGUAAGCAUGAAUUUUAAAGAUCACUACAAUCUAUUCUAUUCAUAGUAUACCAUAAUUUCCUUAACCAUUCUCUUUUUGUUGGAUAUUUAUGUUGUUUCCGCCCUUUUGGUACUAUAAAUAACGGCGCAGUGAACAUCCUAGUGUAUAAGUUGAUUUGCAUCUCUUAUUUCCUUAGGAUAAAUUCUGUAAGUGGAUUUAUUGGAUCAGAAAUUGUCGAUCUCUUGGUGUUCUCUUGGCUGGGUCACCAGUUUCUUUUUCCAUAAGGGGCUGUGCCAAGUUCCACUUCAUUGCACCAGGGGCCAACACCGAAUCAACUAACCCACUUCCCCUUUUAUUAUUGACAGUUUUCUAGGUGAAAGACGGUCUAGAAUUCUGGUAACAUGCUCUUCUUUCUUAACUAAUUAACAUUAUUUUCUACACCCUCUGGUUUUUGGCUUUUUGUAGCACUUUUGUGAUUUACCUUUUUGUGCUGCAGACAGUUAAAAAAUAGGUUGUGGUGUUAAAAUACUGACUUAUAAGGGAUCUUUUUAUGUUAUGGAUUUACAUACUUCCCUGAAUUUUUCUUUUCCUUUAAAUGUUGUAUGUCUGAGACUUAGAUUUUUCUACUCAGAACAUUUUUUUCCCUCAGUUGCUGUAUAACUCCUGCAUUUUCUCCUUCCUUCACUUCUUCCUUUUUCUUUUCUUUAAAAAAAAAAAAAGAAGACU
rnacentral:lncRNA from 1 species